AGUCGCCGCGGUAAUACCAGCACCUCGAGUGGUCAGGAGGUUUAUUGGGCCUAAAGCAUCCGUAGCCGGUUGCAUAAGUUUUCGGUUAAAUCUAUGCGCUUAACGUAUAGGCCGCCGAAAAUACUGUGCAGCUAGGGAGUGGGAGAGGUACACGGUACUCGAUAGGAAGGGGUAAAAUCCUUUGAUCUAUUGAUGACCACCUGUGGCGAAGGCGGUGUACCAGAACACGUUCGACGGUGAGGGAUGAAAGCGUGGGGAGCAAACAGGAUUAGAUACCCCGGUAGUCCCUGUCUCUUAUACA
rnacentral:rRNA from 1 species